GACGAACGCUGGCGGCGUGCUUAACACAUGCAAGUCGAACGGAAAGGCCCUGCUUUUGUGGGGUGCUCGAGUGGCGAACGGGUGAGUAACACGUGAGUAACCUGCCCUUGACUUUGGGAUAACUUCAGGAAACUGUGGCUAAUACCGGAUAGGAGCUCCUGCUGCUUGGUGUGGGUUGGAACGUUUCGGCGGUUGGGGAUGGACUCGCGGCUUAUCAGCUUGUUGGUGGGGUAGUGGCUUACCAAGGCUUUGACGGGUAGCCGGCCUGAGAGGGUGACCGGACACAUUGGGACUGAGAUACGGCCCAGACUCCUACGGGAGGCAGCGGUGGGGAAUAUUGCACAAUGGGCGGAAGCCUGAUGCAGCAACGCCGCGUGCGGGAUGACGGCCUUCGAGUUGUAAACCGCUUUCGCCUGUGACGAAGCGUGAGUGACGGUAAUGGGUAAAGAAGCACCGGCUAACUACGUG
rnacentral:rRNA from 1 species